AUUGAACGCUGGCGGCAGGCCUAACACAUGCAAGUCGAACGGCAGCACAGAAGAGCUUGCUCUUUGGGUGGCGAGUGGCGGACGGGUGAGUAAUGUCUGGGAAACUGCCCGAUGGAGGGGGAUAACUACUGGAAACGGUAGCUAAUACCGCAUAACGUCGCAAGACCAAAGUGGGGGACCUUCGGGCCUCACACCAUCAGAUGUGCCCAGAUGGGAUUAGCUAGUAGGUGGGGUAAUGGCUCACCUAGGCGACGAUCCCUAGCUGGCCUGAGAGGAUGACCAGCCACACUGGAACUGAGACACGGUCCAGACUCCUACGGGAGGCAGCAGUGGGGAAUAUUGCACAAUGGGCGCAAGCCUGAUGCAGCCAUGCCGCGUGUAUGGAGAAGGCCUUCGGGUUGUAAAGUACUUUCAGCGGGGAGGAAGGCGGUGAGGUUAAUAACCUCGCCGAUUGACGUUACCCGCAGAAGAAGCACCGGCUAACUCCGUGCCAGCCGCCGCCGUAA
rnacentral:rRNA from 1 species